UGGCUCAGCUGGUAAAGCAUCUGCCUGUAAUGCAGGAGGCCUGGGUUUGAUCCCCUG
rnacentral:tRNA from 1 species